AGCAUGUGGUUAAUUCGACGCAACGCGAAGAACCUUACCAGGGCUUGACAUCCCCUGACCGCGUAUGAAAGUACGUUUUCACCCUCGGGUGACAGGGAGACAGGUGGUGCAUGGUUGUCGUCAGCUCGUGUCGUGAGAUGUUGGGUUAAGUCCCGCAACGAGCGCAACCCCUACGUUUAGUUGCUAACGCGUGAAGGCGAGCACUCUAGACGAACUGCCGUUGACAAAACGGAGGAAGGUGGGGAUGACGUCAAAUCAUCAUGCCCCUUAUGUUCUGGGCUACACACGUGCUACAAUGGCCGGUACAGACGGAGGCGAAGCCGCGAGGCGGAGCAAAUCCUAAAAAGCCGGUCUCAGUUCGGAUUGCAGGCUGCAAUUCGCCUGCAUGAAGUCGGAAUCGCUAGUAAUCGCAGGUCAGCAUACUGCGGUGAAUACGUUCCCGGGCCUU
rnacentral:rRNA from 1 species